UGAGGGGGGGGGAAAUGUUUUGCUAAUAUGAAAUUUGUACAAUUCUUGAGAAGCUUUAAUGCAAAUAUGCUGUGGAGCUGGGACUCUAAACUUGCCCUCUGGUCAAAAGGGGCUUUUUGCUGUCCCCAUUAAAAAUCUCCUCCUCCCCUCCCCUCCCAUGGUUCAGUUGUAAGCCUCUGAAAUUGCUGUUUGCAGAUGUUCAGUGGAGGUUUGCUAAAAGUCUGGCAGCUAAAUUCUCUGAAGAUUCUGUCUGCACUGAGCAUGCUCAAGCCCAGUUUUUCCCUGCAAUUGCUCCUGUUUGUUGAAGUAGAGGCUACUCUGCCACACUGGCUACUGGAACUGAAAGCAGGGAGACUCUGUCCUCUGCUCUCAAGGGAGGAGAAGGAAGAAGCAACCUGACUGCAGUGCAGGCAGCUGAGGAGCUGGAGGUACAGGGAUAGGCUAGGGGGAGCAGAAGUAGAGAUGGAAGGGAAAUGGGGACAGGCUGAUGGGGGCACAAGCUAGGGAACAGGAGCAGAGGGGGCAUAGAUGGGUAGAAGAAUCCCUAGCUACUAUGGUUGGAACACUGCUGCAGAACCUGGAAUUGAACCCCAAUUUGCGAGCCUCGGCAUUCCUCUGCUGUCUAGCUAUAAAACCUAUUGGCAAAGUGGACCAGCCAAUAGAAGGGAGUGGAACACACAGAGGCUAGAACCUCCUCCUGCUAUCAGUUAAUCCAUUAGUUCAAGUGGCCAGGUUCUGUGCUGUGAAUCUUCUGUGCUGUGAUAUAAUCCACUGGGGGGAGGGUGUUCAAAAUCCUUCCUCAUGAUGGAAUUUCUAUUUUUUCAGCUUCAAUUUUUAAAAGUUUGGGAAGUUACAUGCAAAAUAAAUUCCAUUAAAAGUAUGUUAAAGUUGCACAGUUAAAAACUCAGAAGUUAGAAAAUGCAAAAUAUAAGAUGGCCUGUUCAACUUUAAUUUGUUCCCUUUGUGCAACUGGCUCCACUUCCCCUUACUCGUGUCCACCCCACAUCCCCUCAGCAUUCCCCAUCCUCAGCCUGCUAAGAAACAUCUUCUCACCCUAACCCUCCAGGCCUACUCUGGCUAAGAAUCCCCCUCCCACCUGUCCCCCCCAGACUGAGACCCCCCCUCUUUUCAUCUAGCCUCACCACAGCUCUGGAAUUUCUCUCACCAUGCAAACACAGCCUGCCCCCCACCCGCCCACAACUCAGUCUCAGAACUCUUCCUCCUGAAACCCUUCCCUCUGUACCAGCUCAGAAAGCUUCUACUGAUCUGACUUGGCCCCACAGAGGAUACCAGGAACACUGCUGGACAGGGAACCAGGAUCACAGGAACCGAACCCUCACAGGGCCAGGAACACGGGAACUGCCAAGAGGAGCCACCAGCCAGGAGCCACCAAUGGGAAUGGAGAGCUUUAGGAACAGUUGGGGAGGAGAGGACAUGAAUGAACAUUGAGAAGAGUCAGCACAGCUUUUGUAACAGGAAACCACGCCUCAUCAAUCUAUUAAAAUACUUUGAGGGGGUCAACAAACAUGUGGACAAACGUGAUCCAGUGGAUAUGCUGUACUUGGACUUUCAGAAAGUCUUUGACAAGGUCCCGCACCAAAGAUUCUUAAGCAAAGAAAGCAGUAAUGGGAUAAGAGGGAAGGUCCUCUCGGUAACUGGUUAAAAUAUAGGAAACAAAGGGUAGGAAUAAAUGGUCAGUUUUCAGACUGGAGAAAGGUGAAUAGCGGGGUCCCCCCAGGACCUAUACUGGGACCAGUGCUGUUCAACAUAUUCAUAAAUGAUCUGGGAAAAGGGGUAAACAGUGAGGUGGCAAAGUUUUCAGAUGAUACAAACUUACUC